rnacentral:piRNA from 1 species
CACUGAAACUCAAUAGUAAGGGUCAGU